rnacentral:rRNA from 1 species
UACGUAGGGUCCAAGCGUUAUCCGGAUUUACUGGGUGUAAAGGGCGAGUAGACGGCGUAAUAAGUCAGAUGUGAAAUCUUAGGGCUCAACUUUAAGACUGCAUCUGAAACUGUUAUGCUAGAGUGCAGAAGAGGUAAGUGGAAUUCCUAGUGUAGCGGUGAAAUGCGUAGAUAUUAGGAGGAACACCAGUGGCGAAGGCGACUUACUGGGCUGUAACUGACGUUGAGGCGCGAAAGUGUGGGGAGCAAACAGGAUUAGAUACCCUGGUAGUCCACACCGUAAACGAUGGAUACUAGGUGUAGGUACAAACGUAUCUGUGCCGGCGCAAACGCAAUAAGUAUCCCACCUGGGGAGUACGACCGCAAGGUUGAAACUCAAAGGAAUUGACGGGGGCCCGCACAAGCAGUGGAGUAUGUGGUUUAAUUCGACGCAACGCGAAGAACCUUACCAAGACUUGACAUAUGCAUGUAAGGCUAAGAAAUUAGUCCCUCCUUCGGGACAUGUAUACAGGUGAUGCACGGUUGUCGUCAGCUCGUGUCGUGAGAUGUUGGGUUAAGUCCCGCAACGAGCGCAACCCUCGUGAUUAGUUGCUGCCUAGCAGAACUCUAAUCAGACUGCCGUAGUUAAUACGGAGGAAGGUGAGGAUGACGUCAAAUCAUCAUGUCCCUUAUGUCUUGGGCUACACACGUACUACAAUGACUACUACAAAGAGAAGCGAGACCGCGAGGUGGAGCAAAACUGUAAAAAGUAGUCCUAGUUCGGAUUGCAGGCUGAAACUCGCCUGCAUGAAGCUGGAAUUGCUAGUAAUCACAGGUCAGCAUACUGUGGUGAAUACGUUCCCGGGCCU